rnacentral:rRNA from 1 species
AAUUUUUAUAUAACGAGUAGUAAUAGAUAAUAAAACUCAUAAAGCUUGACAGUUAUACUUAAUUAAAGAAACUUGUUUUAUAAUCGUCAACACUCGAUAAAUUUAACUCUUAUACAAAGCCUACAUACCGCCGUUACAGAAAUUAUAUAAAUCAUAUUUCACAUUAAAACACUUUAAAAAAUCAGGUCAAGGUAUAGCCAACAUUAAAGUAAAAAUUAGUUACACAUAAAAACAAUUUAAGGAAACAACAGCCAAAACCACUCAUAAAGAGAAUUUACAUACAAUUAUACUCAAAUUAAAAUUUUAUAAUGAAAAACCAUAGCAUAAUGU